GAAACUUAAGGAAACUGGAACAUUCAAUUUGGGUGUGGCACAGAACUCGGUCAGUCGCCUGUGGAAAGGCAGUUUGGAUACACUCCGGCAACCGGGAAAUGACAUUCAACAAACAAUGGAUGGUACAAUGCAGCAAAAUGGAAAGAAGUGAACCUGAUACCAGCCCUCAGAUCUCAUAAUCUCACCGCCAUUGGGUAAGGUCCACACCAUAAUGUCAAGCCCAGGUUGGAGAAGAGAAAAAGGGUGAAGCAUAAAGAAUGAAUAAAAAAAAAGAGGAGAGAUUUAAGACAACUGAAAAAAAAGAGACAGAUGAAGAAAGCCUGGACUCAUCAAUAAUGGUGCCCUUUGCCCUCAAAGCGCAAUAUUUGAUCAUCACAGGGCAACUGCAAAAUCUAACAAAGGUGAAGAACACCCUAUGUUUUGGAUUUAUGUUUUAAAAGGAAUCAAGUUAACAGUUUUCUCGAAUUAAAAUUGGAGGGGGUGGUGUUUAUUAGUUACUAAAUAUGAUAAAAGACAAUAAAACAUAACAUACAGAUUAAAAA